rnacentral:rRNA from 1 species
AUUGAACGCUGGCGGCAGGCUUAACACAUGCAAGUCGAGCGGGGUGAUGGUGCUUGCACUAUCACUUAGCGGCGGACGGGUGAGUAAUGCUUAGGAAUCUGCCUAUUAGUGGGGGACAACAUCUCGAAAGGGAUGCUAAUACCGCAUACGUCCUACGGGAGAAAGCAGGGGAUCACUUGUGACCUUGCGCUAAUAGAUGAGCCUAAGUCGGAUUAGCUAGUUGGUGGGGUAAAGGCCUACCAAGGCGACGAUCUGUAGCGGGUCUGAGAGGAUGGUCCGCCACACUGGGAAUGAGACACGGCCCAGACUCCUACGGGGGGCAGCAGUGGGGAAUAUUGGACAAUGGGGGGAACCCUGAUCCAGCCAUGCCGCGUGUGUGAAGAAGGCCUUAUGGUUGUAAAGCACUUUAAGCGAGGAGGAGGCUCUUUUGGUUAAUACCCAAGAUGAGUGGACGUUACUCGCAGAAUAAGCACCGGCUAACUCUGUGCCAGCAGCCGCCGCCG